CAGUCGCCGCGGUAAUACGAAGGGUGCAAGCGUUAAUCGGAAUUACUGGGUGUAAAGCGUGCGUAGGCGGUGAGUUAAGUCUGCUGUGAAAUCCCCGGGCUCAACCUGGGAAUGGCAGUGGAUACUGGCUCGCUAGAGUGUGUCAGAGGAUGGUGGAAUUCCCGGUGUAGCGGUGAAAUGCGUAGAGAUCGGGAGGAACAUCAGUGGCGAAGGCGGCCAUCUGGGACAACACUGACACUGAGGCACGAAAGCGUGGGGAGCAAACAGGAUUAGAUACCCCUGUAGUCCCUGUCUCUUAUAA
rnacentral:rRNA from 1 species